CCUACGGGGGGCUGCAGUAACGAAUCUUCCGCAAUGCACGCAAGUGUGACGGAGCGACGCCGCGUGCGGGACGAAGCCCCUCGGGGUGUAAACCGCUGUCAGGGGUAAUCAAGUCCUGAGAUGCCCCAGAGGAAGGCACGGCUAACUCUGUGCCAGCAGCCGCGGUAAGACAGAGGUGCCGAGCGUUAGGCGGAAUCACUGGGCUUAAAGCGUGUGUAGGCGGGCCGCUAAGUGUCUUGUGAAAUCCCCCGGCUCAACCGGGGAACGGCUGGACAUACUGGCGGCCUUGAGAGGCCUAGGGGCGAGCGGAACAGGCGGUGGAGCGGUGAAAUGCGUAGAUAUCGCCUGGAACGCCGACGGUGAAAACAGCUCGCUGGGGGCCUUCUGACGCUGAGACACGAAAGCCAGGGGAGCGAACGGGAUUAGAUACCCUUGUAGUC
rnacentral:rRNA from 1 species